CUUUCUUUUUGCUUUAUUGAGACAGGGUCUCGCUAUGUAGCCCAGGCUGGCCUGGAACUCAUGGCCAUCCUCCUGCCUCAGCCCCCUGAGUGCUAAGGUUGCAGGUGUGUGCCACCACGCCCGGCUCCCAGACCUUUUUAUUUUGAGAUGAGGUCUCACUAAGUCUGUAAGUUUACCAAGCCAGACUAAUUUGCAGUACUCCUGCCUCAGCCCCCUUUAGUCCCCAAGGGAGCGCAAACCCUGCUCACUAUAUACAGAGAGGCAAAGCUCACAAAUGGACACUGAAGGGCAGUGAGUGGAAGAGAACAUGCACUACAGUGACUCCAUUCAUAGCAGUCUGCAAUGGGACAGCUCCAGGGUGGUGUGGACCUGACCCCCAGCCACGGUCCUGUGGAUUCGCUUUGUGUGACCUAAGCACUCUGUAUUGUGCCAGUCUUGAACAGUCUUGUUAAUAAGAAUCCAUUUGUUGGUAUUGGGUUUUUUGUUUGUUUUCUGGGGUUUUUUGCAAUACAGGGUUGGGCUUAGGGCUAAGCCUAUGUUGCCCUCUCCGAGCUUGAACUUGGGAACCUCCUGCCUCAGCCUCCAGAAUGCUAGGGUUACAAAUGUAUACUACUUUGCCCAGCUAAUACAGAGGAAUUCAAAAGACAAGACCUAGACAGGGAGAAAGCGCAGGAACUCCUGGACAGGGAAAGGGGUGAGGAGCCACCUCUACUCAUCUCGUUGAACUGGCAGGCCCUGUGGCUAGGGAAGGGGCCACACAGGGCCCUGCCCAGGUUGGGGAGAGGGGACUAGAAAUCCAGCUCCAGGACACGGGCCCAGCCAGGGCUGGCCAGGGCACAGUGAAGACCAGUGUGGCGGCAGGGGUGCCACCAGCUGGCCAAGGCCCAGGCAGCCCGAGGGAGGGACACAUGCCACCCCUACCUGGGCCUGCUCCAGGGUCCCUGUCCCUAUCCCCUGGGCCUGGCUAGUUCAGAGCCACGCUCCAUGGCUGCAGCUGGGCAGUGAGGAAGGCCGGGCCAGGCUCAGGGCCAGAGUCUGUGCCACAGCAGCGCCCGAGUCCCAGGGCUGUCCCAGAGCCAGGCCCGUGUGAAAAGCCCACCUUGGCCCACCUAGGUGCUACACAGAGGCUGGGCAUGCGGGCCACUCCCCCUCAGAGUCUCGGGCAAGAAUCGCUCAGCCUUCUGCUGCUCUCCCCACCCCAGCCCAGCCCAGCCCAGGAAGCCAGGGCUGCUUCAGGAGCAGGUAGAUGGAUUGAUUUACUGGUCAGUACUGGGGAUUGAACCCAGAGCCUUCAUAUUGCUUAUUUAAGGCAGGGCUUGUCCACGCCAGGCCAGGCUUGGACUUCCUGUGCCCUGGCCUCAGCCUUCUGCGUAUUGGGGACUGCGGGUUUGAAGCAUCCUCCCGGCCCAGGUGGCGGGCACUGUUUCUUCGGAGCCCCUCCCUCCCUCGGCAGGCUCUGGAGACCUGCCCAGAUGUGGCACAGAGGCCUGAGGCCAGGCAGAGUCCAGCAGCAGGGGCCUCCUCCUCUUCUGCUCACAGGAGGGUCAAGCCCACCCCUCUGCAGCCAGAGCUCUUGGUGAGGGUGCCAGGGCACUGUGCUCUCUGUCACCAGCCCAGGGUUCCCCACGUGCUGCUCAGCUCCCCUUGACCUUGGCAGCAAGCCCAAAGGGCAGGGCUGUGAGGCCAGCCGGUGUGACCACACGACAUCCUGUGUGCAUCCUACGUGGCCCCUGCCAGCCCCAGUGACCAGGCUGAGCAAGCAAGACCCACAGCAGCAGAGGAAACCGCACUCGGAUCCUACAAUGACCACAGACCCGGAGCCCCGGUCAGCCCACCACCGCACAGCACCUGAGCAGCACAGCUUCGACUGGCACAGGACACAGUUCCAGCGGGCAGCCAGCCCCACGCCCUCCCUGGCAGUGGCCCAGUCCCCAUGGGGUCUGUGCUGGGGGAGGCCACCCUGCUUCCCUCCCAGAACCACUGGGUUGCUCAGGCCUGACCUGCAGCACCACCAGCUGGGGCAGCUCUGCCAGCUUCUGCUCCCCAAAACACGGCUGACAUGAACUUGCUGGCGCAGGGGUGGUACUGCUCCUGAGGAUACAGCCCCACCCCAGCAGAUCCACAAGCCCUCCUUCCUUCGAGGAGCCUGUCAGAAUUAACCAGGGCUGAUGGACACACGAACGUGGCUCCACCCCAACACUCGCAUUUAGCAAGAGCAGGGCUCAUUCGGGCAACCAGACCCAUACAAGUGCAAACAGACACCCAGCCACGGGCCCUGCGUGCAGGGGGACGCCCCUGACCACCAACCCCUGAACCCAGCCGGCACUGAGACAAAGGACCCAAAUGCUGCCAGCUGGUGGCUACCUGUACCAGAAGGCACAUCCUCCACCUCUGGCAGCCCGGCCUCAGCCCAGCCCCUGCCACUGCUGGUCUAUGGCCCCCUGACCACUCCUGCUGAGCUUUUUCCAACAAGACAUGGAAGGGCGCCCCAACCAUGAGCCCGCACACACCCCGGCCCAAGCCCAUCCACACAAGGUGGCCAGCGGUUCUGAGAGGAAAGUGGAGGUGCCUGCAGGAUCCAGGGCCCUCAGGACCGGUCCUCAGCCAACAUCCCCUGGCAGGAGGCUGCCAGGAGUGCCCAGUGCACGACAAAGGAGCCAACAGUGGCUAGCUAGCAUCUGCCUCCCGUUCGGCCUGAUAUUUUUAGCACAACCAGACAGCUUUUAGCCUGGGCCAGUCAACCGCCUCCCCUCUCAAAGGACCCCACCAGUGUUGGAGCACAGAAGCCGGGACCUGGGGAGGGCUUCCUGCCCAGAACCAGCACCCCGAUGCCCGGGACUCCCCAGAGAAAGAGGAGCCAGGCCAGGCUCAGGGCACUCGCUCAUUCCACGGCCUCCCCUGGGCACCGAGUGUCCAGCCCUCCUGGUACCUGCAGCCUAGGGAGCCUCCGUGCCACCUCCCUCCUGUAUCCCCAUCCCGGAGAUUACAGGGUCUGCCCUCAAGGUCAAAAGCUGUACCCACCACCAGGCAUGCCACGGCUCUGGCUGGCUGGGCUCCUCUCCUGAGCUGAGCCUCCAGCAAUAGCUCCCCACUGUCCCCCAGUACACAGUCGCCACGGGACAGAUGGACAGGGCUGUGGGGCCUCAGAAGCAGCUGGACUUGGCUGGCCUCCUAGGACACUCAGGGGGACCAGGAAGGUAGCUUUUCCUCUCUACCCCCUCCCCCGGGGCCUCCCUGCCUGGUCUUCAUCACUGUUGUCCUUGGCCCUGGCAUGUCACUGCUGCUCAUGUUCCACAACCAUGCAGGUCCUGUGCCCUCAGCCUCAGGGCUCCCUCCCCCAGACCGUGCGAUCUCCAGGAUAGGGGUACAGGAGUCUCACCAGGGGGUUAGAGGAAUCAGGAGCAGGAAGGCAGCAGCAAGACCCAGACGAGCUAGGGAAGGGGCCCCAGCUGAGAUGUGGCUGCUGCUCCCCUCUCCAGGAAAUCUCUCCCUACAGAAGGGCAUGCACGAGGAUCUUGCCACCCUCACUGCUCACAGAGAGCAAGGGGCCUCAGGGCCUCCCAGGCAGCCUGGCCAACUUGGAGUGGAGCUUGUCGACAAAGGGCUCAUCGCCUGGGCUUCCCUGACCAUCACUGUCUUCUUCAGGCCAUGGGACAAGCACCUCCUCAUCCAGGCCUGGGUUGGAGCAGCCCGAGCGUGGCAGACCAUGGGCUGCUGUCCUCAGGCUCUGGGCAAGUCUAGGAAAGGGCCUGGGUGGCCCAGCACUGGGUGCCCAGGCCAGCCACACUCCAGACCUCAGGUGGGUGCUGCAUUGCCCAGGAC
rnacentral:lncRNA from 1 species